rnacentral:ncRNA from 1 species
GACAGUGUCUGACGGACAGUUUGACUGGGGCGGUCGCCUCCUAAAGAGUAACGGAGGCGCUCAAAGGUUGGCUCAGAUUGGUUGGAAAUCAAUCGUAGAGUGUAAAGGUAAAAGCCAGCUUGACUGCGAGAGCUACAACUCGAGCAGGUAGGAAACUAGGACUUAGUGAUCCGGUGGUACCGCAUGGAAGGGCCAUCGCUCAACGGAUAAAAGCUACCCUGGGGAUAACAGGCUUAUCUCCCCCAAGAGUUCACAUCGACGGGGAGGUUUGGCACCUCGAUGUCGGCUCGUCGCAUCCUGGGGCUGUAGUCGGUCCCAAGGGUUGGGCUGUUCGCCCAUUAAAGUGGUACGCGAGCUGGGUUUAGAACGUCGUGAGACAGUUCGGUCCCUAUCUGCCGUGGGCGCUGGAAGAUUGAGAGGGGCUGCUCCUAGUACGAGAGGACCGGAGUGGACGCA